rnacentral:rRNA from 1 species
GACGAACGCUGGCGGCGUGCCUAACACAUGCAAGUCGAGCGGGGUUGAAGCGAGAGGUAACUCGAGCUUCUACCUAGCGGCGGACGGGUGAGUAACGCGUGGGCAACCUGCCUCAAGGUUUGGGAUAACAGCCCGAAAGGGCUGCUAAUACCGGAUAUGCCUAUGGCCUCGCAUGGGGCUAUGAGCAAAGGGGAAACCCGCCUUGAGAUGGGCCCGCGUCCCAUCAGCUAGUUGGUGAGGUAACAGCUCACCAAGGCGACGACGGGUAGCCGGCCUGAGAGGGUGACCGGCCACACUGGGACUGAGACACGGCCCAGACUCCUACGGGGGCAGCAGUGGGGGAUCUUGCACAAUGGGCGAAAGCCUGAUGCAGCGACGCCGCGUGAGCGAAGAAGGCCUUCGGUUGUAAGCUCUGUCUGGAGGGACGGAACAAAAUAGACGGUACCGUCCGGAGGAAGCACGGCUAACUACGUGCCAGCAGCCGCGGUAAGUCUAGUCUACG